AACAAACGCUGGCGGCGUGCCUAAUACAUGCAAGUCGAACGGGGAAAGCUUUCGGGUGAGUACUAGUGGCGCACGGGUGAGUAACGCGUGGAUAAUCUGCCUUAGAGUGGGGGAUAACUAGUCGAAAGAUUAGCUAAUACCGCAUAAGACCACAAGAACUGCGGUUCAAGGGGUCAAAGGUUUUUCGCUCUAAGAUGAGUCCGCGUAAGAUUAGCUAGUUGGUAGGGUAACGGCCUACCAAGGCGACGAUCUUUAACUGGUCUGAGAGGAUGAUCAGUCACACUGGAACUGAGACACGGUCCAGACUCCUACGGGAGGCAGCAGUAGGGAAUAUUGCACAAUGGAGGAAACUCUGAUGCAGCGACGCCGCGUGAGUUAUGAAGGCCUUCGGGUCGUAAAGCUCUGUCGCAGGGGAAUAACACAAUGAAGGUACCUUGCAAGAAAGGAUCGGCUAACUUCGUGCCAGCCGCCGCGGUAAGAC
rnacentral:rRNA from 1 species